GUCAUGCUGGAUUUUGUAGUGGUAGAAAAGCAAAUAAAAGUAAGGAGCGAUAAGCAAGAGAGAGAGCUUGAAAAUGGAGGCAGAUUUUGGAGGAGCAAUUGGUGAGUCAGUAGUUUCUUGGGGUUUGUGAUCGGUUUUGGUAUCGGUACAGACUGAUUUCGCGGUGCUUGUGUCUGUGGCCGCUAACGCCCUCUUGCGAGCUGCCAUGCCUAACUCAAACCUCUCUGUUUCUGUUUCUCUCUCUCUCUCUCUCUCUC
rnacentral:misc_RNA from 1 species